GUGAGGGCCCGUUCAGACCAGAAAAAGCAAUCCGGUGAUUUUCUGCAGGGUGGUGGGCGGGGGGGUGUCACUGAAACGGACCAUUUUGUGUGACGUCCUGUUGUGUUCUUUAAAAGGGAUA